rnacentral:rRNA from 1 species
UUAUGACCUGGGCUACACACGUGCUACAAUGGACGAUACAAAGAGUCUGCGAAACUCGCGAGGGCCAAGCUAAUCUCAUAAAUUAUUUCUCAGUUCGGAUUGUAGGCUGCAACUCGCCUGCAUGAAGCUGGAAUCGCUAGUAAUCGCGGAUCAGCAUGCCGCGGGAAUACGUUCCCGGGCCUUGUACACACCGCCCGUCACACCA